rnacentral:rRNA from 1 species
UACGUAGGUGGCAAGCGUUGUCCGGAUUUACUGGGCGUAAAGAGCGCGCAGGCGGUCGUGCAAGUCGCGUGUGAAAGCCCCCUCUCAACUGGGGAGGGUCACGCGAUACUGAUCGACUCGAAGGCAGGAGAGGGAAGUGGAAUUCCCGGUGUAGUGGUGAAAUGCGUAGAUAUCGGGAGGAACACCAGUGGCGAAGGCGACUUCCUGGCCUGUUCUUGACGCUGAGGCGCGAAAGCUAGGGGAGCAAACGGG